UGACAUCAAAUAAACGAUUAAAGGUUUAGCGGUUAUGGAUGGGGAUGCGUCUGAUUAGCUUGUUGGCGGGGUAACGGCCCACCAAGGCGACGAUCAGUAGGGGUUCUGAGAGGAAGGUCCCCACAUUGGAACUGAGACACGGUCCAAACUCCUACGGGAGGCAGCAGUGAGGAAUAUUGGUCAAUGGGCGAGAGCCUGAACCAGCCAAGUAGCGUGCAGGACGACGGCCCUAUGGGUUGUAAACUGCUUUUAUGUGGGGAUAAAGUGCGUGACGUGUCAUGCAUUGCAGGUACCACAUGAAUAAGGGACCGGGCUAAUUCCCGUGCCAGCAGCCGCGGUAAAU
rnacentral:rRNA from 1 species